rnacentral:rRNA from 1 species
AUUGAACGCUGGCGGCAGGCCUAACACAUGCAAGUCGAACGAGUGGCGGACGGGUGAGUAAUGUCUGGGAAACUGCCUGAUGGAGGGGGAUAACUACUGGAAACGGUGUCUAAUACCGCAUACCAUCAGAUGUGCCCAGAUGGGAUUAGCUAGUUGGUGGGGUAACGGCUGACCAAGGCGACGAUCCCUAGCUGGUCUGAGAGGAUGACCAGCCACAAUGGAACUGAGACACGGUCCAGACUCCUACGGGAGGCAGCAGUGGGGAAGAUUGUACAAUGGGCGCAAUCCUGAUGCAGCAAUGCCGCGUGUAUGAAGAAGGCAUUCGGGUUGUAAAGUACUAUCAGCGGGGAGGCGUUACCCGCAGAAGAAGCACCGGCAAACGCCGUGCCAGCAGCCGCGGUAAUUC